rnacentral:rRNA from 1 species
GACGAACGCUGGCGGCGUGCUUAACACAUGCAAGUCGAACGGAAAGGCCCUGCUUGCAGGGUGCUCGAGUGGCGAACGGGUGAGUAACACGUGGGAGAUCUGCCCGGCACGUCGGGAUAAGCCUGGGAAACUGGGUCUAAUACGGGUAAGGAGCCAUUGUGAGUGUGGUGGUUGGUAAGAUUUUUCGGUGUAGGAUGAGCUCGCGGCCUAUCAGCUUGUUGGUGGGGUAAUGGCCUACCAAGGCGGCGACGGGUAGCCGGCCUGAGAGGGUGGACGGCCACACUGGGACUGAGGUACGGCCCCGGUGCCUAAGGGUGGCCGCAGGGGGGAAUAUUGCUCAAGGGGCGCCAGCCUGAUGCAGCGACGCCGCGGGGGGGAUGGCGGCCUUCGGGUUGUAAACUCCUUUCGCUAUGGACGCAGCUUUUUGUGACGGUACCUAGAGAAUAAGCACCGGCUAACUACGUG